AUAACAAUACAGUACUCUUUAGAGGCCCUGUAAUUGGAAUGAGUCCACCUGAAAUCCUUUAACGAGGAUCUAUUGGAGGGAAACUCCACUAUCGCCUGCUGCUGCUCGCACAGUCUCUCCAG